CCAACCCGGGCUAGCAGGUCAUCGAACAUGGCGACAGUCAAGCGCAAAUACCGCUGGAACCGGCCGUCAUCCAGGCGGAGUUCCUGCAGGAGGUGGUGAAACUCACCCAGCUCUGAGCGCCUACGGAUGAUCUCAUGCACCCAAACACGACGGCGUUUGAGUUUAAUUCUCUCUUCCAACUUCCACAACACAUACAGCGCAGCGACGGUGGUGAGUGACCUUCAUGUUUGUGGAGCUUUGGAAAGAGAAGGAGCGGGAGAAAAUGGGCGGGCUCAUGACGCGUCGGGAGCUGGCCUUCUUUCACUACCGAGGGUUAAAAAGAAAUCGGCUGGACAGAGAGCGUUUGCCUAUCGAGCCCUCUUCCUAGGAAUAGGGGAUUAUCACGCUUCCUGGUUCCGGUGGCGGGAUUUGUCUUCGUUGUGCAUGAACACUUCCGGCGCACUUCCACCAUGGCUGAAACAAAGGCUAGAUGUCACUGCUCUGUUCCACUUUGUACAUCUAACAAACAACACCAACCCUACUUAAGUUUUCAUGGAUUCCCGACUGAAAUGAGUCUAAGGAAGAAGUGGAUUCAAGCGGUUCGCCGGGAUGAAGGGCCAAACUUUAAAAUAAAACAAGGUAGCACGUUUGUUUGUAGCCGGCACUUUAGUGAAUCGACUACAAACGCUACAGCUAGCAACCAACCGGGGUCACACCAAGCGACUGAAAAUCGGGUCUGUACCCUCCCGUUUCCAGUGGAACAACUGGGGACUGCCAAGAAGGGGGUCUGUUUAUAAAAGAGCAUCAACUCGCUUAGGCCAUGACGUUCACCCAUCCCUUCCUCUGGAGCAACCGCUGCCCUGUGAAUAAGAGCCGAUCCCCGGAGAUCUCAGCUUCGGUGGUGAUGACAGAACAUGAUUUCGGUUCUGCUCCUAAACCAGGUGCACUGGAGGCUGCUGCUGUACACGUACAGCAAUUGGAAGAAACAGUCAAGGAGCUGAUGAGAGCUGUCACAGCUGAAAGUGGUUCAAGUGCCUUUUCACAGAUUCUGUGUCUCAGACGCGGACAUCCUUUUUUACACCAGAUUCACGUCAAGAGAUGUUUUUUGUGACUUCUGGGAGGUUAUUCAACCAUCUGCCUCCAUGUUGGUUUAUUGGUCGAAAGCUCAGAAAAAGAAACAAACAUUUGAACCCAUUUCUCCCAGUCCAACGUGUAGACUGCAACUGGUUGAGAUUUUUCUCUUCUGCUGCCGGGUUGCUGCAGGCCUGCAAGAGAAGGUGCUGGCUGACAUGUUUCAGUUCAGUGUGUCCACUGUCUCCCAUGUUGUUAUACCGUGGGCCAACUACCGUUACCUGAUCCUUGGCUCCCUCCCCAUCUGGAUGAGUAAACAGCAAGUCAAGAACACCAUGCCAAGCUAAUUUGUGCAGUACAGUCCAAAUGUUCGGGUAAUCAUCGACUGCACCGAGGUGCAGUCGAUGAUUACCCGAACAUCAUCUUACAAGAACACAACAACCUUUAAGGCCUUGAUUGGGAUUGCCCCUUGUAGUGCUGUGACUUUUGUGUCAAGUCUCUUCACCGGCUCCAUCUCCGACCCAGAGCUGACUGAACGAAGUGGACUGCUGGAUUUACUGGAGCCAGGAGAUGGCUGCAUGGCAGACAAGGGUUUCACCAUCGAGAAGCCACUAGCUGAUCGUGGGGCAACGCUGAUUAUACCACCCUUCAAGAUGACGGUUCACUGAAGAGGAUGCUCUGAAAACACAAGCAAUCGCUCGACUUCGAAUCCUCGUAGAAAGAGCAAUAGGCAGAGUCAAGGAAUACCAGUCAAUCAGCUGUGGACCGUCUGCUGUGUGAUGACCAACUUCCAGGGACCACUUGAUUUAAAAGGCUACAUCUCUGUUGAAUAGUGUUUCUACUCAAACAUGUACCUAUAAAUAUUAAAUAUAAUAUAUAAAUAUUAAAACGAGAGGCACUGAACAUUUGGAGUGGUCCCUUCAUUUUUUCCGGAGCUGUAAUUUUGUACACUUAAAACAUUGUAUAUAUUGAAUGACAUGUAUGUAAUUGAAUGAGAAGUCUUUCAUCUAUAAUCAAUUUUAAAGUCCAGUCAGUCCAUCCUGAAAGUAUUCAAAAUAAUGUUAAUAUAUAAUGUAGUAAAUUAUGUACUCAGAAAAAGGGAAUGAAUUAAAUCCUUUUAUUCUUUCAGUUCCUUUAUUCAUUCAGUUAAUUUCACAUUCAUUUCACUUUCUG